CGGGUGAGUAACGCGUGGGUAACCUGCCUCAUACAGGGGGAUAACAGUUAGAAAUGACUGCUAAUACCGCAUAAGCGCACAAAACCGCAUGGUUUGGUGUGAAAAACUGAGGUGGUAUGAGAUGGACCCGCGUCUGAUUAGCUAGUUGGAGAGGUAACGGCUCACCAAGGCAACGAUCAGUAGCCGACCUGAGAGGGUGACCGGCCACAUUGGGACUGAGACACGGCCCAAACUCCUACGGGAGGCAGCAG
rnacentral:rRNA from 1 species